rnacentral:rRNA from 1 species
GAGAUUUGGAGGAACACCAGUGGCGAAGGCGACUUUCUGGUCUGUAACUGACACUGAGGCGCGAAAGCGUGGGGAGCGAACAGGAUUAGAUACCCUGGUAGUCCACGCCGUAAACGAUGAGUGCUAAGUGUUAGAGGGUUUCCGCCCUUUAGUGCUGCAGCAAACGCAUUAAGCACUCCGCCUGGGGAGUACGGCCGCAAGGCUGAAACUCAAAGGAAUUGACGGGGGCCCGCACAAGCGGUGGAGCAUGUGGUUUAAUUCGAAGCAACGCGAAGAACCUUACCAGGUCUUGACAUCCUCUGACAAUCCUAGAGAUAGGACGUUCCCCUUCGGGGGACAGAGUGACAGGUGGUGCAUGGUUGUCGUCAGCUCGUGUCGUGAGAUGUUGGGUUAAGUCCCGCAACGAGCGCAACCCUUGAUCUUAGUUGCCAGCAUUCAGUUGGGCACUCUAAGGUGACUGCCGGUGACAAACCGGAGGAAGGUGGGGAUGACGUCAAAUCAUCAUGCCCCUUAUGACCUGGGCUACACACGUGCUACAAUGGAUGGUACAAAGGGCUGCAAGACCGCGAGGUUUAGCCAAUCCCAUAAAACCAUUCUCAGUUCGGAUUGCAGGCUGCAACUCGCCUGCAUGAAGCCGGAAUCGCUAGUAAUCGCGGAUCAGCAUGCCGCGGGUGAAUACGUUCCCGGGCCUUGUACACACC